UGAAUACGAGACGCUAAGGCGUUGAAGUAGUGUAUGUCAUACUUCCAAGAAAAGCUUGCACUGUCAUAGAUAAAAAACGCCUGUACCAUAACCGACACAGGUGGGUAGGUAGAGUAUACUAAGGGGCGCGAGAUAACUCUCUCUAAGGAACUCGGCAAAAUAACUCCGUAACUUCGGGAGAAGGAGUGCCUUAUUUAUAAGGCUGCAAUAACAAGAUCCAAGCAACUGUUUAUCAAAAACACAGGUCUCCGCUAAGUCGUAAGACGAUGUAUGGGGGCUGACGCCUGCCCAGUGCCAGAAGGUUAAAGAAGUUGGUUAGCAAUAGCGAAGCUGAUAACUGAAGCCCUGGUGAACGGCGGCCGUAACUAUAACGGUCCUAAGGUAGCGAAAUUCCUUGUCGGGUAAGUUCCGACCCGCACGAAAGGCGUAAUGAUUUGGAUACUGUCUCGGAGAGGGGCUCGGUGAAAUAGACUUGUCUGUGAAGAUGCGGACUACCUGCACCAGGACAGAAAGAUCCUAUGAAGCUUUACUGUAACUUGAAAUUGAAAUUGGACUUUAUUCGCGCAGUAUAGGUGGGAGGCGUUGAUUGUAAUCUUGCGGGAUUAUUGGAGCCAUCAGUGAGAUACCACCCUUGUAAUGUUAGAUUUCUAACUUUGAAUCAUUAUCUGGUCAAAGAACAGUUUCAGGCGGGCAGUUUGACUGGGGCGGUCACCUCCUAAACGGUAACGGAGGCGUACAAAGGUUUCCUCUGAACGGUUAGAAAUCGUAUCUAGAGUGUAAAGGCAUAAGGAAGCUUGACUGUGAGACCUACAAGUCGAGCAGGGACGAAAGUCGGUCUUAGUGAUCUGACGGUACUGAGUGGAAAGGCCGUCACUCAACGGAUAAAAGUUACUCUAGGAUAACAGGCUGAUCUCCCCCAAGAGUUCACAUCGACGGGGAGGUUUGGCACCUCGAUGUCGGCUCAUCGCAUCCUGGGGCGGUAGUACGUCCCAAGGGUUGGGCUGUUCGCCCAUGAAAGCGGUACGCGAGCUGGGUUCAGAACGUCGUGAGACAGUUCGGUCCAUAUCCGGUGUAGGCGUUAGAAUAUUGAGAGGAGCCUUCUUUAGUACGAGAGGACCGAGAAGGACAUACCUCUGGUGUACCAGUUAUCGUGCCAACGGUAAACGCUGGGUAGCUAUGUAUGGAGUGGAUAACCGCUGAAAGCAUCUAAGUGGGAAGCCCACCUCAAGAUAAG
rnacentral:rRNA from 1 species